GCACUGUUGACGAGUCCCAAACUAGGACGAAACAGCUGUCUAAUAC
rnacentral:hammerhead_ribozyme from 1 species